UACUUUUCUGUACCCACUGGGGUAAAGUUAGGCAACCCAUUUAGUUUACACAUGCAUAAGACUAAUUUACAGAAUCACUCUAUACAGUCGUUAGAUGUAACAUCCUUCCCUGAGUAGAAAAUAAUGGAGUAAUGAAUGUGUUUGGAGAUUAUUUUCUGUAAUGCUGGGAACAAACCUGUUUUAAAGCAUACUGCUAAAAGUAGGUGACAUAAGACCAUUUACUGUUUUUAUUAAAGUGUGUGUGUGUAUCAGUGUCUCAAUGUGAAGAUUGUAAUCUCAAGGUUAGGACUCUUAAAAGAGCCACUUAGCCUGAAUGGGAAACAUGAAACUAUUUUUAAAUACACACCUCUAAGGAAGACACCCUCCCAUAUAGACUUGAUUGCAAAGAAGCAGAUAAGAAGACAGAAAAGUGUUUUAAAUGUAAGAUCUCCUAUGGAGUACCUUAAAUUCAUUUAUACAAAUGAAUAAGUAUAUCUUUGUAUAAUGCAUAAAUACAUAGAUAAAAACAUGUUUGCUGCCAAAGUUCCCAGUAAGAUGCUUCCUGUGUUUUUUGGCCUUUACUUAGCUGAAUGAUCAAAGUUCAGAAAAUGGUCUGCAAAAGUUACUCCAUAUACAACCCCAUAUCUACUACUUUUAAAUGUAACAUCAACUCAGUUGUAUGAAUCUGGAGUGUAAUAUUUAUAUUAGAAUGUAUAUGUCAUUUAAAAUAUUUUGAAAUCCCUCAUAAAUAUUUAUAUUUACUAAACUAAUAGCAUAGACACUAUAUAAAUCUACAGUGAUGCUAAAAUAAAUUAGUAAUAAUGGGUGCUAUAUAAUUAUUUUUAGUUAUCAUCCCUGGCUCUCUGGAAUCUUCUCCAUUUCUCCCUAUUACUCAAUUUCAUUUUAAUCAUUGGACACCUUUGCAUUUUGUUGCGAACAGUGUGUGUAUGUCACCCUCUUUAUAUCUGGUGUUCCCACUUGUCUGAAGCUCUCUUGGUGUUAGAACCUGGAGCUGCAGAUUCCUCCAUGUCAGCUCCCAUCACAGCCCCAAAGACAGAGUCACUUGGUUGCUGGAAAAAUCUUUGGGGAAAGCUGGUAUAACCUACACGCUGACCUGUCCCCAGUGUUUCCAGGUAAUGACUUGGCACUGCAGAGGAAGUUUCACGCUGUUGCGUGUGGUGGCUCCAAGCCAAGCACCUGGCAUGCAGGUCAGCCCCUCCCAGCAGGACGUGGUAUCAUCCUCUUCUCAGAUGCCAUGUUGCAGCCCCAAGGUCUCACCAUUUUGUGAGUCUUAGAAACCCAUUUUCUUGGUCAUUUAUAAAGCUGCUUUAUAGAUAUCUUUGAUCCUGGCAUGCCUUGGUUUCCUCUCCCUUCCCUCUUUCCAAUCCUGGUUUCCCACCACCUCUUUUAGUAAUUCUCAAUUCAAAGUCCCAAGAAUUUGGAAUGGUAGGAUGCUGUGCGGGGAGCUCGAGGCUGAGGCGUAUUCACCACUUCAGUUCUGCUCCUCAGGGGACACGCUCCCUUACUCACGGCAGCCAUGUUUGAUUGUCACAGAGCCCCCCGAAUACUGUCUAUAGUGACACACUGUAGGUAUCAUAAAUUUUAAGAAAUCUGCUUUUAAGUACUGUUUAUAGGUUUUUCUGUUACACUUGCAACCUAGUUUUAAAAUACAUGAGGAUUUUAUGAAAGCUUUAUACAGACCUUUAUAGGAAACUCAUUCUUUGAUUUUAGGUGCCAUUUAAAUUGAUAACACUUACUUUAUAAUAAAGAUGCUUUUUGUCUGGAUACAGCCUUAUAGUUUAAAAUAUCUUCAUAUAUUGCCACUUGAUCAAAUAAAUUUCUUACUUAGAAAA